rnacentral:rRNA from 1 species
CCCUUAGAUGUUCUGGGCCGCACGCGCGCUACACUGACGAAGUCAGCGAGCAUGUCCUACGCCGACAGGUGCUGGGAAUCUUGUCAAACUUCGUCGUGAUGGGGAUUGAUUAUUGAAAUUCUUGAUCAUCAACGAGGAAUUCCUAGUAAGCGCAAGUCAGCAGCUUGCGUUGAUUACGUCCCUGCCCUUUGUACACACCGCCCGUCGCUACUACCGAUUGAAUGGUUUAGUGAGAUCUUCGGAUUGGCGCCACUGCGGCUCAGCAAUGGGCUCGGUGGAUGCCGAAAAGUUGAUCAAACUUGAUCAUUUAGAGGAAGUAAAAGUCGUAACA